GCCCCUGUGGCCUAAUGGUUAAGGCAUUUGACUUGAAAGUAUCCCCUCAUUCUUCGAUUGUGCAUAUAUACUAACCUACACACAGCUACCAAGUAGAGAUCAGAGGAUUGCGAGUUCGAGUCUCGCCAGGUCAGUG